UCCGGCCGGUGCCCCCCGGGAAUCAUUGCGCCUACCCAGCUCUGCGGCUGUGUGGAGGCGGCCAGUGUUGCUGGAGCACCGAGAAUGCGGGCGGGACGCUCCGAGGAGCCCAGUGGCCCUGUGGCUCGGGUGAAGCCGGUAGAAAUCCUCGAGGAGCUUCGGAGACCUGUGGCUUAGGUGGAGCCGGCGUCGCUUGGCUCCCCGAGCGUGGGCGAGUUUCCUCGUAGCUGGCGGCGCCUCAGGGACUGACUCAAUGACUCCCCCGCUGUUUAAAUUCUCUAGGGUGUGAAUAAGCCCGGACUCAGCCUUAAGUCUCCAAAGCUGCCAAAACAGGACACCUUUUAAGAGCUGACUCCUGUAUCAUCAUCCAUACCCCAUUCUACUCUGUUUUUCAACAUGUAGUUUGAACCAGCUGCAUCCAAUCCACCUGAGGCGGUGACUGAAAAUGCAAACCCCAGGGCCCGGGCCCAGCAUGCCUCCUGGAGCCCAGGGUUUACUCUCCCAUUAGAGUUUGAAAUUAAUCCCUAGGCAGAGGCGAACCUGGAAAGAGUCUCAGUUCUCCAGGAAAUUUAAUUCCUGAGCCUUUGGUAGUAUUUUGACCUGGACCAGCAAAGCUGACAUCAGGGGGACAGCACCCCAGAAGAACUGUGCUUGUUGAUACCGAAGGCUUAGACAGUAGAGACAGCAAUCCUGCUAACUCGGGCGCAUUGAAUCUUGGCCCAACAGAUUUACUCCAUUAUUAAGUAUGAGCUGAUCUAUGUGAAGCAAACAAGGUGUGUAUUUACCGCCACUCCAAGUCCAAACUCUCCUCCCACGUAAUGACAUAUUCAAAUCAGCCCCUACGGUUUUUCGUAGGUUAUUGCUCAGAAUCUCACCCCCCCAAAUCAUAAAUCUAAAGAAUACCUUGGUUUCUCCACUUGAACCCUAGUUUAUAUGCCAGCUGGGAAAAGAAUAAGUAUUAAAGAAGUCAUACGAUGAUCCAGAUUGAAGGAAGUUUGGGCCAUGUUUUUGUUAAGUGUAGCUUUUCCUUCAAAGACACCGUUAAAUUGCUCUGGUAGAAGAAGCCAACAGAGGAGGGGUCCAUGUGUAUGGACAGAGCUGGAGUGAUCCAUGCUUCAACGGCAGUCCCUUCAACCUUGCUUGAAUGUGGAGGCUGCACAGAUCACAAGCUCCGCAGACUGCAAGACAGCUUUGCUCCAAAGAAGCUGACCACUGUAUGGUUCCCCAGCAUAUCAAAGCUAACCUGAAUUGUUUAAGUUGUGUUUCAGUUGAUGAAUAGAACUUCACGGAACCACACAUCAACAAUGGAGCUAUCCCAUGAUAUAUGAAGAGCAACAUUUAUAUCGCGUUGUGGGUGUGGAAAUCAAGAGAUGCUACUGAUGGUUUGGAAAGAUGAAAGAGAUCAACAUCAAAACGAUGUCAGUAAUUUAAAAUAUAAUAUUAAACUUUAUUCUUAAAAUGAGAGAGAUACACACAAGGAAGAGACAACUGCCCUGGACACUAGCAUGUGCAAUUGUGAUGACUAGAUAUGCUGCAGCCAUCUUGCAACCAGAGAGGAGCCAGCUUGAAAACAAAGCUAACACAAUGAGAUCACACAGCAGAAAAUGAAAAGAACCUGAAUCCUUGAUAAUCCUAAUGAGCUGAUGGAUUAAACCUGGAGUAUACCUACUAUGGGUUUCCUGUCAUCUCAAGUAA